UCAGUUAGUUCACUCACUCAUUCUCAUUCACUCUUACAGAGCCCAGACGACGAGCACUGCCAAGCAAGAGACGCAACUCGGGAUUCACCGCCAAUGGCGUCCCGGACUCAAGUCGAUGAUCUCUUACUUAAAAAACUAUCAUUGCCACCGGUAUCAUCUUCAAAAUCGAAUCCAAGUCUUUCUGUCUCUCACGCAUUAUCGUCUGUUGAAGCCUUCUCUCCCUCUUCUUCAUCUUCCACCGCCAUCGCCGAACCCGAAGAAUCAAGGUCCUCACUAUUGUUUAUGUUUUUGUGUUUUCGAUGAUUUAAUGUCGAAUUUAUGGUUGCUUGAUGUUUUCAGAGUAAUUCUGCGCCAACGAAGCCGAUCGAAGGCCAAAAGACCGGGACCAGUGGAGUUCGAAAGAAGGUACGUUACUGUGUUUUCUCUUUUGUUCUCAUAUAUAUAUAUGUAAAAUUUGUUCACAUUUCAAUUUGGAUUGGCUGUUUGGUUGCGAAAGGAAAUAGAGCAGUGGGGGAUAGAUUUAGGUUUCGAAUAUUUUUUUUUUGUUCCGACUGAUAACUGAAUAACGCUUUCAAUUACGGAAAUAGUAUUUGUAUGAGUAGGCUUUAGCGGGGUGCUUCAACAGAAGAACGUUUUCAUUUAAUUACGGGAAAGUGUAUUGUAUAAUUAGUCUCAUUGGAUUGCUUUUCACUGGCGAGCCUUGAAUGUCUUCUCGUCGAAGUUUGUUUAGCUUGUCUUUGCUAAAACUUUUGUGUUUAACUCGAUUGUUUAUGGGUCAAAGUCUUCAUGCAAGAGAAUUACCUUGAAACUUGGAGUUAGGUACGGGAUUCUUACUUUUUUCCAUUGCGUUAUUCUGCUCUCUUUUUAUGGCAUUAUGGUUUUCAUGGAUUUCACAUUUUCAUGUGCAGUCAUAGUUUAAUUCUCUGCACAAAAGUGGGGUCUCUGUAUCAGGAGGAGAUGGCUGAGAAGCUGCACAGAUUAUUAUCAAGAUUACUGCUGGGAAGGGUGUUGGAAAAUUUUUGAUUGGCAAGUUGUUUCAUAUCCAACUGCUAUUUGAUUUUAUGUCUGGGCAAAGUUAUGAUGCAAGAAAAUUACCUUGCAAAUUCGAUUUAGAGAAUGUUGACGUCUACACCACCUAUUUCUCCUGUUAUCCUGUAGAAGUUCAAUUGUAGCUGUCAACGACCUGCUCUGGAAUCCAUCACUGACAAUAUUCAUGGAAACAGUCUUUCUGACUGGAGACCCUCCAGCAAAGGAAUCUAUCAUACCCCCAGGCAGACAUCUGGUUGUUUCCCUGCAAAUAUGUGUUAUGCAGGGUUUAUCGUUUGUCAAAGCUCGUUUGAUUUCGAUGGAAAUUCCUGCACAUGGUGAAAGUUUUCCUAAUCUAGUUUGUGUGGGGAACAACUCUAGUUCGGUGACUAAUACUUUUGAACAUAAAAUUGAUGGAAGUUUUACUAAGUAUGCUUUCUGCUUCCAAUGCUGUGUCUAAUCACGAUGGAAACUGAAGGAUAUAAAGCUCUGGCUUCUUCGGGAGGUUAUAAAGCCGGGAGAUUGAUGAUCUAUCGAUCAUUGUGAGCCUUUGUGCUCUAAUAUUGGAUUUUACGUCAGAGGUGGCGUUUCUUAAUCAUCCUAAUUUUGGCCAUAUCUCCCUUUAUAUUCUGUCUCGGCUCUUGGUUAAGAAGUUUGGCACAUGGGAAGGUAAAAAUGCAUGGUUAUUAAUCGUAUGACAGGCACAUUUUAUAUUAUGUCAGGUAUCGGGGAUGACCGAAAUUUUGAUUCAUGAACGUCAAAUAUCAAAGGGUUGGAUUGGUAAAUUGUUUCAUCCAAACACAUUUGUUUGAGUCUUAAUUAAUUAGGUGAAUGUAUAAAGUUUUGAUGGAUGGUUAUUUGUAUUAUUGGGGAACUUGUUGGGUUCCCCUUCGAUUUUUGUUUCUAAUAUAUGAUGUCUUGUGGAUGGACUCACUGCAGGAGAGCUCUGAUGAAUUGCUCUAGCAGAGUUGGACCUUUUGGAGAUAGUGGUAUGAGGUUUCUGAGAAUUGGCUAGUAUACACAUAACUUUUGCUUGCUUCCUAAUUAUGUAUUUGAUAAUUGAGAUUGAACUUGGAAUCAAAUUUAUGGUUGUGGUAUUGGUCCAGCCUAUUCUUGGUGGACUGAUAGAUACCCAUCUAUGACGGAGGCAGCUGAGGGUGGGUUGGAUGAGGUAAUACUCGCUUGGGGAUUCGAAUCAGCUUAACACGUGUGAAAUUAUUCGUUGAUUUUGUAAUUUCUUCUCCAUAACGAUAAUUUAUUGAAUGGCUAUGUUAUAAUUCGACUGCUAGGCU